CAGCAGCCGCGGGAAUACCGAGGGUGCGAGCGUUAAUCGGAUUUACUGGGCGUAAAGCGUGCGUAGGCGGCUUCUUAAGUCGGAUGUGAAAUCCCUGAGCUUAACUUAGGAAUUGCAUUCGAUACUGGGAAGCUAGAGUAUGGGAGAGGAUGGUAGAAUUCCAGGUGUAGCGGUGAAAUGCGUAGAGAUCUGGAGGAAUACCGAUGGCGAAGGCAGCCAUCUGGCCUAAUACUGACGCUGAGGUACAAAAGCAUGGGGAGCAAACAGGAUUAGAUACCCCUGUAGUCCCUGUCUCUUAUAC
rnacentral:rRNA from 1 species